rnacentral:rRNA from 1 species
UACGGAAGGCAGCAGUGGGGAAUAUUGCACAAUGGGCGAAAGCCUGAUGCAGCUAUGCCGCGUGUAUGAAGAAGGCCUUAGGGUUGUAAAGUACUUUCAUCGGGGAGGAAAAAACAAAACUAAUAAUUUUAUUUCUUGACGUUACCCGAAAAAGAAGCACCGGCUAACUCCGUGCCAGCAGCCGCGGUAAUACGGAGGGUGCUAGCGUUAAUCAGAAUUACUGGGCGUAAAGAGCACGUAGGUGGUUUUUUUAAAGUCAGAUGUGAAAUCCCUGGGCUUAACCUAGGAACUGCAUUUUGAAACUGAAAUACUAGAGUAUCGUAGAGGGAGGUAGAAUUCUAGGUGUAGCGGUGAAAUGCGUAGAUAUCUGGAGGAAUACCUGUGGCGAAAGCGGCCUCCUAAACGAAUACUGACACUGAGGUGCGAAAGCGUGGGGAGCGAAACAGGGAUUAGGAUACC